CCUACGGGGCGCAGCAGGGGCGAAAACUUUACAAUGCGGGAAACCGUGAUAAGGGGACACCGAGUGUCAGCAUCAUAUGCUGGCUGUCCAGGUGUGUAAAAUACACCUGUUAGCAAGGGCCGGGCAAGACCGGUGCCAGCCGCCGCGGUAACACCGGCGGCCCGAGUGGUGAUCGUGAUUAUUGGGUCUAAAGGGUCCGUAGCCGGUUUGGUCAGUCCUCCGGGAAAUCUGAUAGCUCAACUAUUAGGCUAUCGGGGGAUACUGCCAGGCUUGGAACCGGGAGAGGUAAGAGGUACUACAGGGGUAGGAGUGAAAUCUUGUAAUCCCUGUGGGACCACCUGUGGCGAAGGCGUCUUACCAGAACGGGUUCGACGGUGAGGGACGAAAGCUGGGGGCACGAACCGGAUUAGAUACCCSGGUAGUYCCAGCCSUAAACGAUGCUCGCUAGGUGUCAAGCAUGGCGCGACCGUGUCUGGUGCCGCAGGAAGCCGUGAAGCGARCMMCCUGGAAGUACGSCGCAAGCUGAAACUUWAAGGAAUUGGCGGGGGAGCA
rnacentral:rRNA from 1 species